UACAGAGGUGCAAGCGUUGUUCGGAAUUAUUGGGCGUAAAGGGCGCGUAGGCGGUGCGGUAAGUCUGUAGUGAAAUCUCUGGGCUCAACUCAGAGUCUGCUGCAGAAACUGCCGUGCUUGAGUGUGGGAGAGGUGAGUGGAAUUCCUGGUGUAGCGGUGAAAUGCGCAGAUAUCAGGAGGAACACCGGUGGCGAAGGCGGGUCUCUGGGCCGAUACUGACGCUGAGGAGCGAAAGCGUGGGGAGCAAACAGG
rnacentral:rRNA from 1 species